CUACCAGGGUUUCUAAUCCUGUUUGCUCCCCGCACCUUCGUAUAUCAGCGUCAAUCAUCGGCCAGAAACCCGCCUUCGCCACCGGUGUUCUUCCAAAUAUCUACAGAUUCCACCCCUACACUUGGAAUUCCGGUUUCCCCUCCGUGAUUCAAGUCAAGCAGUACCCAAUGCAGUUUACGAGUUGAGCUCGUAGAUUUCACACCAGGCUUACCUAACCGCCUACAUACCCUUUACGCCCAAUAAUUCCGAACAACGCUCGCCCCUUACGUGUUACCGCGGCUGCUGGCAC
rnacentral:rRNA from 1 species